rnacentral:rRNA from 1 species
GACGAACGCUGGCGGCGUGCUUAACACAUGCAAGUCGAGCGGAAAGGCCACUUCGGUGGUACUCGAGCGGCGAACGGGUGAGUAACACGUGUGUAAUCUGCCCCUCACUUUGGGAUAGCCACCGGAAACGGUGAUUAAUACCGGAUAUGACCAUAUGUCGCAUGGCGUGUGGUGGAAAGUUUUUCGGUGAGGGAUGUGCUCGCGGCCUAUCAGCUUGAUGGUGAGGUAAUGGCUCACCAUGGCUUCGACGGGUAGCCGGCCUGAGCGGGUGACCGGUCACACUGGGACUGAGACACGGCCGAGACUCCUACGGGAGGCAGCAGUGGGGAAUAUUGGACAAUGGGCGGAAGCCUGAUCCAGCAACGCCGCGUGAGGGAUGACGGCCUUCGGGUUGUAAACCUCUUUCAGUACCGACGAAGCGCAAGUGACGGUAGGUACAGAAGAAGCACCGGCCAACUACG